AAGUUUAUUAGUCAAUAAUGAUAUUAAAUUGCAAAUUUAGAGGUUAAAUAUAAACU
rnacentral:tRNA from 1 species